rnacentral:rRNA from 1 species
GUAGGGAAUAUUGCGCAAUGGGGGAAACCCUGACGCAGCGACGCCGCGUGAGUGAUGAAGGCCUUCGGGUCGUAAAGCUCUGUUGCAGGGGAAUAAAAAAAUGAAGGUACCCUGUGAGGAAGGAUCGGCUAACUUCGUGCCAGCAGCCGCGGUAAGACGAGGGAUCCUAGCGUUGCUCGGAAUCAUUGGGCGUAAAGAGGGCGUAGGUGGCUUGGUAAGUCAGGUGUGAAAGCCCAGGGCUCAACCCUGGAAGUGCAUUUGAUACUGCUGAGCUUGAGUGUCGGAGAGGUUACCGGAAUACCUGGUGUAGUGGUGAAAUACGUAGAUAUCAGGUGGAACACCGGAGGCGAAGGCGGGUAACUGGACGAACACUGACACUGAGGCCCGAAAGCGUGGGGAUCAAACAGGAUUAGAAACCCGAGUGUCC